UACGUAGGGGGCAAGCGUUGUCCGGAUUUAUUGGGCGUAAAGCGCGCGUAGGCGGUUGCCUAAGUCGGACGUGAAAGCCCUCGGCUUAACCGAGGAAGUGCAUCCGAAACUGAGCAGCUAGAGUACGAAAGAGGGUCGCGGAAUUCCCGGUGUAGAGGUGAAAUUCGUAGAUAUCGGGAGGAACACCGGCGGCGAAGGCGGCGACCUGGGUCGAGACUGACGCUGAGGCGCGAAAGCGUGGGGAGCAAACAGG
rnacentral:rRNA from 1 species